GGGCGAUUGGCGCAACGGGAGCGCAGGUCCCUUACAAGGACAAGGUUACAGGUUCAAAUCCUGUAUCGCCCACCA
rnacentral:tRNA from 1 species